rnacentral:rRNA from 1 species
UAAUACGAAGGGGGCUAGCGUUGCUCGGAAUUACUGGGCGUAAAGGGCGCGUAGGCGGCCGAUCAAGUCAGGCGUGAAAUUCCUGGGCUUAACCUGGGGGCUGCGCUUGAGACUGAUUGGCUAGAGGAUGGAAGAGGCUCGUGGAAUUCCCAGUGUAGAGGUGAAAUUCGUAGAUAUUGGGAAGAACACCGGUGGCGAAGGCGGCGAGCUGGUCCAUUACUGACGCUGAGGCGCGACAGCGUGGGGAGCAAACAGGAUUAGAUACCCUGGUAGUCCACGCCGUAAACGAUGUGCGCUGGAUGUUGGGAACCCUAGGUUCUCAGUGUCGUAGCCAACGCGGUAAGCGCACCGCCUGGGGAGUACGGCCGCAAGGUUG